GACAGAGGUGCCGAGCGUUAGGCGGAAUCACUGGGCUUAAAGCGUGUGUAGGCGGUCGGGCACGUACCUUGUGAAAUCCCACGGCUCAACCGUGGAACUGCUGGGUAUACUGCCUGUCUUGAGCCAGCCAGGGGCAGUCGGAACAGGCGGUGGAGCGGUGAAAUGCGUAGAUAUCGUCUGGAACGCCAAAGGUGAAAACAGACUGCUGGGGCUGUGCUGACGCUGAGACACGAAAGCCAGGGGAGCGAACGGG
rnacentral:rRNA from 1 species